rnacentral:rRNA from 1 species
GAUGAACGCUGGCGGCGUGCCUAAUACAUGCAAGUCGAGCGAACAGACGAGGAGCUUGCUCCUCUGACGUUAGCGGCGGACGGGUGAGUAACACGUGGAUAACCUACCUAUAAGACUGGGAUAACUUCGGGAAACCGGGGCUAAUACCGGAUAAUAUAUUGAACCGCAUGGUUCAAUAGUGAAAGACGGUUUUGCUGUCACUUAUAGAUGGAUCCGCGCCGCAUUAGCUAGCUGGUAAGGUAACGGCUUACCAAGGCAACGAUGCGUAGCCGACCUGAGAGGGUGAUCGGCCACACUGGAACUGAGACACGGUCCAGACUCCUACGGGAGGCAGCAGUAGGGAAUCUUCCGCAAUGGGCGAAAGCCUGACGGAGCAACGCCGCGUGAGUGAUGAAGGUCUUCGGAUCGUAAAACUCUGUUAUUAGGGAAGAACAAAUGUGUAAGUAACUAUGCACGUCUUGACGGUACCUAAUCAGAAAGCCACGGCUAACUACGUG